rnacentral:rRNA from 1 species
CGGCGAGCGAAGCGGGAAAAGCCCAAAAUGAAAAGCCAGCUUGCUGGCGUUGUAGUUGAGCGACCUUGGGGUGUCAGUCUGGGUAAGUCGCAUGGAAAUGCGUGCCGUGGAGGGUGAGAGCCCCGUCCAUCCCAUUCAGGACACUCCGCACAAGGGCGUUUCAGACGAGUCGGGUAGCUUGGGAAUGCUGCUCUAAUUGGUGGUAAAUCUCAUCAAAGGCUAAAUAACGGUGGGAGACCGAUAGCGAACAAGUACCGUGAGGGAAAGAUGACAAGCACUUUGAAAAGAGGGUGAAAAGAGCCUGAAACCGUUACGGGGGAAGCGGAUCGCGUUGGCCUGGUGGCCGCCUGUGUGUUCAGCCCUUUUGGGUGCAUUGAUGCAGGUGGUUAUCCGUUGUGGCUUCUCGGUGGCCGAAUUUGGGCUGUCGGGGGGUGAGGGCUCCCUUCGGGUGAGGACGACGGAGUGACGACGCGAUACGACCCGUCUUGAAACACGGACCAAGGAGUCUAGCGCGGGUGCGAGUCGGAGGGUGUUAAAACCCGUGGGCGAAGUGAAAGCGAGUUUAAAAACGAGCAGUUUGGGGCGGCAUAGAAUCGUUGAUUCUAGGUCCGACCUUGAGCAGUUGCGCUGGGACCCGAAAGAUGGUGAACUAUGCCGGAGUAGGGCAAAGCCAGAAGAAAUUCUGGUGGAGGCUCGUAGCGGUGCUGACGUGCAAAUCGCUCGUCGAACUUGGGUAUAGGGGCGAAAGACUAAUCGAACCAUCUAGUAGCUGGUUCCCUCCGAAGUUUCUCUCAGGAUAGCAGGCCGACAAGUUGUUUUGUGCGGUAAAGCGAAUGAUUAGCGUACUCGGGGACGUUUAGUCUUCGGACGAUUCUCAAACUUUCAAUGCGCAAGGGUACCGGUGCUUUGUUGAGCGGUACCGAUAAAAACGUCGGCCUUGUGGGCCACUUUUGGUAAGCAGAACUGGCGAUACGAUGGAUGGCGCUUAAGCGGGCGACCGACACCAUGCCGUCUGUGAAAUAAUUCAGAUGAGUAGGAGGGCGUGGCGGCCGUGUCGAAGCGUGCUUGCAGAGGCAUGUGGAACGGCCGCUAGUGCAGAUCUUGGUGGUAGUAGCAAAUAUUCAAGCGAGAUCCUUGAAGGGCGAAGCGGGGAAGGGUUCCACGCGAACAUUGAUUGGGCGUGGGUGAGUCGUUCCUAAGCCGAGUGGCGAUUGCUAAGUAGCGGCGAAAGGGAAGCGGGUUGACAUUCCCGCACACGGAUGUGGAGGCGGUGACGCUUUAUUGGGGCGAACACGCUGGCGGUGGCGCUGGGCAGAGUUGUCUUUUCUGUUUGACCGCUGAUGCACGCGGUGUGGAAUCCGCUUGUCGGGAGAAACACGCGUGUACGGGCAGAGCGCCGGGGCUUUUCCGGCGUCCAGCUCGCCACCGACGGCCCUUGAAACUUUGCCUGCUGGUAUUUUUUAUUAAGAUCCACGCCGUGGCGUACCGAUCACCGCAUCAGGUCCCCAAGGUGAACAGCCUCUGCUCGAUAUGAACAAUGCAGGUAAGGGAAGUCGGCAAAUUGGACCCGUAACUUUGGGAAAAGGGUUGGCUCUAGUGCUGCGUGGGAGUGGUUGUCGAGUGUUGGUGUGUUUAGGCUUGCUGGAAUGAGCGCGGGCCUUCGGGACUGUGUUUAUCUGGCGGGCCCGGGCGCGCCACGCUCGACGACGCCCACAGCAUGCAGCAGACUAGAACUGCAACGGAAGGGAAUCCGACUGUUUAAUUAAAACAAAGCAUUGCGAGGGCCGUGGCCGGUGAUGACGCAAUGUGAUUUCUGCUCAGUGCUCUGAAUGUCAAAGUGAAGAGAUUCAAUCAAGCGCGGGUAAACAGCGGGAGUAACUAUGACUCUCUUAAGGUAGCCAAAUGCCUCGUCAUCUAAUUAGUGACGCGCAUGAAUGGAUUAACGAGAUUCCUACUGUCCCUAUCUGCUUCUAGCGAAACCACAGCCGAGGGAACGGGCUCGGCGAAAUCGGCGGGGAAAGAAGACCCUGUUGAGCUUGACUCUAUUCUAAUUUUGUGAAGCAAGCUGGGAGGUGUAGCAUAGGUGGGAGACUUCGGUCGUCCGUGAAAUACCACUACUCCCAGUCUUGCUUUACUUACUGGGUCGGUGUGGAUGAGUCUUACGACUCUUUUCUGGAACCAACCUGAUUUAAUUCGGGGACCACAGCUCAGUACACAUUUAGGAGGGGAGUUUGGCUGGGGCGGUACAUCUUCUACAAGACAACGAAGGUGUCCAAAGAUAAGCUCAGUGAGAACAGAAAUCUCACGUAGCGCAAAAGGGUAAAAGCUUGUUUGAUUUUGAUUUUCAGUGCGAGUCAAAAACGCGAAAGCGUGGCCUAUCGAUCCUUUCACGAUUCGAGAUUUGAAGCGAGAGGUGUCAGAAAAGUUACCACAGGGAUAACUGGCUUGUGGCGGCCAAGCGUUCAUAGCGA